rnacentral:tRNA from 1 species
GUUUCUAUAGUUAAGGGUUUAGUUAACGGCGGCUUUUCAAGUCGCAGACCUUGGGUAAAGUCCAAGUAGAAACU